UACGUAGGUGGCGAGCGUUGUCCGGAUUUACUGGGCGUAAAGAGCGCGCAGGCGGUCGUUCAAGUCGCGUGUGAAAGCCCCCGGCUCAACUGGGGAGGGUCACGCGAUACUGAUCGACUCGAAGGCAGGAGAGGGAAGUGGAAUUCCCGGUGUAGUGGUGAAAUGCGUAGAUAUCGGAAGGAACACCAGUGGCGAAAGCGGCUUCCUGGUCCAGCACCGACGUUCAGGCACGAAAGCGUGGGGAGCAAACAGG
rnacentral:rRNA from 1 species